rnacentral:rRNA from 1 species
UCCUACGGGAGGCAGCAGUGGGGAAUAUUGCGCAAUGGGGGGAACCCUGACGCAGCCAUGCCGCGUGAAUGAAGAAGGCCUUCGGGUUGUAAAGUUCUUUCGGUAAUGAGGAAGGGAUGUUAUUAAAUAGAUAGCAUCAUUGACGUUAAUUACAGAAGAAGCACCGGCUAACUCCGUGCCAGCAGCCGCGGUAAUACGGAGGGUGCGAGCGUUAAUCGGAAUAACUGGGCGUAAAGGGCACGCAGGCGGACUUUUAAGUGAGAUGUGAAAUCCCCGAGCUUAACUUGGGAACUGCAUUUCAGACUGGGAGUCUAGAGUACUUUAGGGAGGGGUAGAAUUCCACGUGUAGCGGUGAAAUGCGUAGAGAUGUGGAGGAAUACCGAAGGCGAAGGCAGCCCCUUGGGAAUGUACUGAUGCUCAUGUGCGAAAGCGUGGGGAGCAAACAGGAUUAGAUACCCUGGUAGUCC